rnacentral:rRNA from 1 species
UGGGGAAUAUUGCACAAUGGGCGCAAGCCUGAUGCAGCCAUGCCGCGUGUAUGAAGAAGGCCUUCGGGUUGUAAAGUACUUUCAGCGGGGAGGAAGGGAGUAAAGUUAAUACCUUUGCUCAUUGACGUUACCCGCAGAAGAAGCACCGGCUAACUCCGUGCCAGCAGCCGCGGUAAUACGGAGGGUGCAAGCGUUAAUCGGAAUUACUGGGCGUAAAGCGCACGCAGGCGGUUUGUUAAGUCAGAUGUGAAAUCCCCGGGCUCAACCUGGGAACUGCAUCUGGUACUGGCAAGCUUGAGUCUCGUAGAGGGGGGUAGAAUUCCAGGUGUAGCGGUGAAAUGCGUAGAGAUCUGGAGGAAUACCGGUGGCGAAAGCAGCCCCCUGGACAAAGACUGACGCUCAGGUGCGAAAGCGUGGGGAGCAAACAGG